AUGCAUGCAUGCAGUGCGUACGCUUUUCUUUUUCUUAUUUCCAAUGUGAGUCGCGACGUGUCUAGACAUCACAUGCAUCAGCUUGCAGCGAUCGCCCUCUCCCUCCUCCUCCUCGUCGCCGCGGCGCCGGCCGCCGUCACCUGUAGCGAGGAGCUUGCUGCAGUGCUCCAGUGCCACCCGGCGCCGGCGCUCACGGACGGCGCGGCGUUCCGCGCCACCGUCCUGCCCCUCCUCGCCGCCCUCCCCUCCGCCGCCGCGCCGACGCGCUUCGCCUCCCUGCAUUCCGACGGCGCGUUCGCCCGGGGGUUCUGCUUCGGCGACUCCGCCACGCCGCCUUCAGACUCCGACUGCGUCCGCUGCCUGUCCGACGCCGCCAGGAACCUCACCGCCGGCUGCGGCGCCACCAGCCGUCGCGCCGGCAUCUUGAGCCAGGGCUGCUCGCUCUCGUACGCCGACACCAACUUUUCCUCGCCCGGCCAGGACGCCUUCCGAGCGCGCUUCCACCUGGCGCUCCCGAGCGACGCCGCCGCCCCUGCUUCUGACUCUGAGACCAGCGCCGGGGUCCUCUACUCCGCCGGCCUGCACGCCGAGCUCGUCGCCAUGGCGCAGCUCAUGGCGCAGCGCGCGGCCGGAAGGCUCUCCAAGCCGGUGAUGCCAGCCAGCACGAGGGUGGUUCACAAAACCAUCGUCGAGAAAGGCUGCGGCUGCGGCUGCGACUUCGCCAUCGUGAGCAGCACGGUCCGCGUGCGGGUGCAGUGCGCCGGCGACCUCACGGCGGCGGACUGCGCCGGGUGCCUGCAGGACUCGGCGCAGGCCGUGGGCUGGGACCUCGACGCGGCCCGCGGCGGCCGCGGUGGCGCGGCGGCCGCGGUGGCGCGGCGGCCGCGGUGGUGGGUUUCAACUGCCACGUUCGGUUCGAUGUCUCCACCGCAGCGACCAGAGUGA
rnacentral:rRNA from 1 species